rnacentral:rRNA from 1 species
UACGGAGGGUGCAAGCGUUAUCCGGAUUCACUGGGUUUAAAGGGUGCGUAGGUGGGCAGUUAAGUCAGUGGUGAAUCUCCGGGCUCAACCCGGAAACUGCCAUUGAUACUAUCUGUCUUGAAUAUCGUGGAGGUAAGCGGAAUAUGUCAUGUAGCGGUGAAAUGCUUAGAUAUGACAUAGAACACCAAUUGCGAAGGCAGCUUACUACCCGAAUAAUUGACACUGAGGCACGAAAGCGUGGGGAUCAAACAGG